GACUCGGUAGCUCAGGCGGUAGAGCAUCUGACUUUUAAUCAGAGGGUCCCGGGUUCGAUUCCCGGUCGAGUCACCA
rnacentral:tRNA from 2 species